UGGGCGGGAAUCAGAGACCUUUAAAGUCCUUUAUCAUCGGUUGGGAAUGGGAAGUCAGUUUCUUGCACAUUUUUGGCUCCCAAUGUCUUCCAUUGCUUGUUAACACCAACCACGCCACUUUGUUGUCGUCGGCGAGCGUGCACGCUGCAGAAGGAAUACGGGACAGCUGCCAUUCCUGGAGGCUGGAAGGUUCAUUGGACAGGACACCUGCACAGCCGUAUUGCUGGCGGCUACGGUAAAGGUGUCCACCCUACUUUGUGGGGAUGCUACACUGAGCCUUAUUGCUGAAAGUCUUCCGAGUAGUUUUGAAACACAACACAAGAUGGAGGAGGAUGUGAGUGUGAUCGAUCUUCUCAGGGUCUUGCUGCAGGAGGUGCGAGAUGUGAAGCAGGAGGUGAGAGAGUUGAAGAGCAAGCUCGAGAACUCAUCUGAAUGUACAGAGUCGAUUAUUGAAAACCCUUUUGAUGAACUGAAGUCUUUUGGCUUUAAAGCUACAUCACUGGAAGAAAGAACGAGAACAUGAUUUGCUUUUUCAUGUCCCGUGCCACUUGACUGAACAUCUGAUGUUGAUAACAGCAGAUUAUUGGCUACUCGAACGGGAGAAGCAGUUCUCGGAAGGAUGUGAAAAUUCUAAGAAGAACAGGAACGACCUCCUUAAGAUCCUCAUUGAGUUAGCUCCCAAGCCUAAGAAGAAUGCUAAAGUAGCUGCUCUGGAUAUAGUUAGGUCGAUAAUGCAAAGAUUAGCUGAUGAUUCAGUAUGGCAAUAUGUUAGCGCUUUUGGGAAGUCAGGCACAAAAAAGCUGUCAAUGUGCAAAAUGAUGCCUUCAAUUAUGGAUACAGUACUCUUAACAACAAUAAAAACCCUUUCAGUUGAUACUAAAGAGGCAUCAACUGCUCUUUCAACAUAUUUAAAAAAUACUGCUACAAGGGCAGCAGCAAAGAAGCACAAAUUUGAACAUGGAAGAGCCAUACUUCAGAUUGGUAACAGUGUACAUGAGGAAACAUUCCAGUCUGCAAACUCUGUCCAAAGUUCAUCACAACAUGCAGCUGAUGAGGUUAGAGUCUGAUGCAGCACAUGAUUCAGAUUUGGCCUGAAACCAAAUUUGUGGCUAAAAUAAUUUUAUGCAUGUGUUCUUUAUUGAGUGUUAUAUAAGCACUGGUCUCCACUGUCAGUGUCAACUAAGUACAACACAUGCAAAAUAACACAAAACUUUCUUUUGCUAGCAUCAUAAAUAAUU